CCACAAUAGAGACAUAUAUAUACACACACACUUAAGAACUAAACAAGACAGAAAACAACUAGUCAAUGAAUACUUCGUGGCCGGGUGCCCACAACAGCGUGUGAAGCCAAUUACUGUGGUCCCGAUAAGUGAGAGAAUACAUGCACUAACUACAACAUGACGUGGAGAUCCUAAGUAUGCGUGCUGAAUUGCACUUCAGACACACAGAUUUCCAUGUCCUUGGAUCAUCCGAAUUGAAAAUUGUUUGAGAUGCCGUCAAAUAAUGUUCUUUAAGCAAACUUCUAAAGCGUAAUAAAGAUGUAUCCAUGCGGCGCAUUUCGUCAGGUAGGUUGUUCCAAACUCUGCACGUGCGUGAGAAGAAUGAUCGUUGAAAAGUUAUGGUUUUACAUCUUUUAGGAUGAAAGUAGAGUAGACUAGGAUCGGAAGUAUUUCGGGUUGGUCUUGUGGGAAUAUGUUGAGUUGGCUUGACUUCAGAGUUCAUGGUGGUAAUAUUGUGAACAAUUUUGAAGAAAAAUACCAGAUCAAGGAAUUCAUGCCAGUAGGAGAUAGGAAGUAGAUGGAGUGAGUUCAAACGUUGUUUAUAGGUUAUAUCAGUUUUAAAAGGUAGGUUUAGGAUGACUUUAGUAGCACGACGCUGGACCCUUUCGACACGUCUGAUAAGGUCAAUUGAUUGUGGGGACCAAACCUGAGUGGCAUACCCGAGAUGUGGACGAACAAUGGCAAGGUAUAGAGUACGGCGAACGUUAACGUCAUUAAUGUUACUCACAGAGCGGCGAACACAGCCAAGAGAUUUGUUGGCUGC